rnacentral:lncRNA from 1 species
ACCAGUUGGAGGUUGCCACAUAAGAUGACUUCCCUCUCGAAAUCACCAGUGACUUAGGAGAGUCAAACGUUCGCUGUUCUAACCCAAAGGCUUGCUGGACAAAUGAGAACUUUAGGAGCUUUGAAGUCUGUUUAAACUACCUUAGCCACAAGCUUUGUGGAAAACAUCAGAAAAGCCAUCUCAGGACGUGCUCUUCUCUGGGAAUCACUAGGGAAGGAGUCUGCACCUUAUCCGCAGCCAGGGGACAAGGCCUGGUGCUAGGGAGGAAAAGCACUCCUUAUAACUCCUACAGUGGCAGAAUUGCCUCCUGUGAGCUCUGCAAUUCCUCAGAACAAAUCACCUGAAUGUCUCUGCAAAUAGCAGACCAUGAGGAGUGUGAGGAGGAGUGGAGGGGGACACAAGUGGGAACUAAUAAAACUCUUGUUAAAGGGCCUGCUCAGGAUCCGUG